GCCUCCGUAGCUCAGUGGAUAGAGCGAUCCCCUCCUAGAUUUUUUGGGCACCAGGCUGCGAAAGCGCCUGCGUGAAUUGAGUCAAAUUCGGUGAACCCUCUGGGCAUUCAGCCCGUGGCAACGCCGAGCCAAGCCCACCCUGGGUGGGAAGGUGUAGAGACUAGACGGCUCAGGCCUGCAUGACCGCUUCGCGGCGGUUCAUGGCCAAGGCAUAGUCCAGCCCACGAACACGUUCACGUGGCGGCGAAAGCCGAAGUGGGAUGAAGGGAUAGGUCGCAGGUCCGAUUCCUGCCGGGGGCACCA
rnacentral:tRNA from 1 species